rnacentral:rRNA from 1 species
UGUUAUACUUAAUUGAAAUUUUAAUUAGGCUUGAGUAGUAAUCAGUUAUGUUCUUGAAACUUAAAGGAUUUGGCGGUAUUUUAGUCUAGUUAGAGGAACCUGUUUUAUAAACGAUAAACCACGAAUUAUCUUACUUCUUUUGGUAAAAUCAGUUUGUAUACCGUCAUUACUAGAUAGCCCUUAUAAGGAGUUAUUAAAAUAAAUAUUUAUUAACAUAUUAGAUCAAGGUGCAGCCGAUGAAGGAGUCAAUAAUGGGUUACAUUGUUUUAAAACAUACGAAAGGAGAUUAGAAUGGGCUCUGGAAGGUGGAUUUAAUAGUAAUUAUGUUUUAAUAAGGGAUAGUGAUACUAGCUCUAAGAUAU